UAAACCUGCUGCACCGACUGGUCCAACUGGAAAAUCCAGUAUUCAGUGUCCACGGCAUGGGCUGAGGAACCCAAACACGUCCAUGAGGACACAUGCCUCAGCUGCUGGGAGCGGAGCGGGACUCGGGGCAGAGGAGAAGAAGAUGAUCAGCUGAGAGGUGAAGGACAGAGCCGGACGAGAGUGGAGGCGGAUGAGGCACUUCGCAGCAGUCAUCAGGGUCUGAAUGAGACUUUCGGUACCACCAUCAACUCUACAUGGACCAAAGAGUUAUUACAGUCCAACACUGAUCUGGUGUCAAUACAUUCACAGAUAAUGACAGCCUGAGCCUGUUAGAUAGUCAAGCAUAAUUUAUUUGUAUAG
ensembl:lncRNA